rnacentral:lncRNA from 1 species
AUUGUUUUAAUUUAAGAAGUAAUAAAUUGUUGCAAUUUGUUAGAUGUGCCUCAGAAUUGAUAAUCGACUUCAUUUUUGAAACUCCGACUCAUCGACAGUUUUUGCGAUAUGACUAAUUUGAAAAAGACAUUGUGAAGAAAAAUUGAAUGUUUGUGGCGGAUAGUGAAGGGCUUAAAUUGGAAAUCCGUUAAGACAUUGUUUUUUCGUUUUGCCCUAGAGGCGAGAGAUUGUGCAUUGUAUUCCGAACUUUGCAUUAUUUUUUUCAAUAGUAAAAUUAUUUCCUCCCUCGUCCGUAAUUUUUAUCUGUAAAAAUUUUUUCACAUAAAUCUCUAUAUUCUUCUACCUUUUACUUGUGAUUUAUCUAUUUUCAUGUUCAUCAUUUUCGUUUUCGUUUAUAAAUUUGUCGUAAUACAAUUCAGCAUUCAGAUUUACUUU